rnacentral:rRNA from 1 species
AUGGCUCAGGAUGAACGCUAGCGGCAGGCUUAACACAUGCAAGUCGAGGGGCAUCGUGGAGUAGCAAUACUCUGACGGCGACCGGCGAAAGGGUGAGUAACGCGUGAGCAACAUGCCCGAUAGUGGAGGAUAGUCGAUGGAAACGUCGCGUAAUACUCCGUAACACAGGGAACCGCAUGAUUUCCUGUUAAUAGAUUUAUCGCUAUCGGAUUGGCUCGCGUACCAUUAGCUAGUUGGCGGGGUAACGGCCCACCAAGGCGACGAUGGUUAGGGGUUCUGAGAGGAAGGUCCCCCACAUUGGAACUGAGACACGGUCCAGACUCCUACGGGAGGCAGCAGUGAGGAAUAUUGGACAAUGGCCGGAAGGCUGAUCCAGCCAUGCCGCGUGCGGGAAAGACGGCCCUAUGGGUUGUAAACCGCUUUUGUUGGGGAGCAAUAAGGUCCACGAGUGGAUCGAUGAGAGUACCCAGCGAAUAAGCAUCGGCUAACUCCGUGCCAGCAGCGGC